UCUAUGUGUAUGUACCAGUGCUUGUAUCUGCCAGUGUGUAUCUGUGUGUAUGUGCCAGUGUGCAUAUUUGUGUGUAUGUGCCAGUGUGGGCAUCUGUGUUUGGCUGCAUGGCCCAGUGUGUGUUACGGAGUGUGUGUGUGUAUGUAUGUGCCAGUGUGGGUAUCUGUGUGUAGGUGCCAGUGCACCUCUGUGUCAAGUUGUGUAUAUGCCAGUGUGUGUGUGUGUGUAUCAGUAUGUGUAUCUGUGUGUCAAGGUGUGUGAUUGUGUC